rnacentral:rRNA from 1 species
UACGAAGGGGCUAGCGUUGUUCGGAGUUACUGGGCGUAAAGGGCGCGUAGGCGGCCCUCCAAGUCGGGCGUGAAAGCCCACGGCUCAACCGUGGAAUUGCGCUCGAGACUGAAGGGCUCGAGGACGGGAGAGGAUGGUGGAAUUCCCAGUGUAGAGGUGAAAUUCGUAGAUAUUGGGAAGAACACCGGUGGCGAAGGCGGCCAUCGUGGACCGUAUCUGACGCUGAGGCGCGAAAGCGUGGGGAGCAAACAGGG